rnacentral:rRNA from 1 species
GGGUUGUGAGGUUAAGCGACUAAGCGUACACGGUGGAUGCCCUGGCAGUCAGAGGCGAUGAAGGACGUGCUAAUCUGCGAAAAGCGUCGGUAAGGUGAUAUGAACCGUUAUAACCGGCGAUGUCCGAAUGGGGAAACCCAGUGCAAUUCGUUGCACUAUCGUUAACUGAAUACAUAGGUUAACGAGGCGAACCGGGGGAACUGAAACAUCUAAGUACCCCGAGGAAAAGAAAUCAACCGAGAUUCCCCCAGUAGCGGCGAGCGAACGGGGAGCAGCCCAGAGUCUGAAUCAGCUUGUGUGUUAGUGGAACGGUCUGGAAAGUCCGACGGUACAGGGUGAUAGUCCCGUACACCAAAAUGCACAGGUUGUGAACUCGAAGAGUAGGGCGGGACACGUGGUAUCCUGUCUGAAUAUGGGGGGACCAUCCUCCAAGGCUAAAUACUCCUGACUGACCGAUAGUGAACCAGUACCGUGAGGGAAAGGCGAAAAGAACCCCGGCGAGGGGAGUGAAAAAGAACCUGAAACCGUGUACGUACAAGCAGUGGGAGCACCUUCGGGUGUGACUGCGUACCUUUUGUAUAAUGGGUCAGCGACUUAUAUUCUGUAGCAAGGUUAACCGUAUAGGGGAGCCGCAGGGAAACCGAGUCUUAACUGGGCGUUAAGUUGCAGGGUAUAGACCCGAAACCCGGUGAUCUAGCCAUGGGCAGGUUGAAGGUUGGGUAACACUAACUGGAGGACCGAACCGACUAAUGUUGAAAAAUUAGCGGAUGACUUGUGGCUGGGGGUGAAAGGCCAAUCAAACCGGGAGAUAGCUGGUUCUCCCCGAAAGCUAUUUAGGUAGCGCCUCGUGAACUCAUCUUCGGGGGUAGAGCACUGUUUCGGCUAGGGGGUCAUCCCGACUUACCAACCCGAUGCAAACUACGAAUACCGAAGAAUGUUAUCACGGGAGACACACGGCGGGUGCUAACGUCCGUCGUGAAGAGGGAAACAACCCAGACCGCCAGCUAAGGUCCCAAAGUCAUGGUUAAGUGGGAAACGAUGUGGGAAGGCACAGACAGCCAGGAUGUUGGCUUAGAAGCAGCCAUCAUUUAAAGAAAGCGUAAUAGCUCACUGGUCGAGUCGGCCUGCGCGGAAGAUGUAACGGGGCUAAACCAUGCACCGAAGUUGCGGCAGCGACACUAUGUGUUGUUGGGUAGGGGAGCGUUCUGUAAGCCUGCGAAGGUGACCUGUGAGGGUUGCUGGAGGUAUCAGAAGUGCGAAUGCUGACAUAAGUAACGAUAAAGCGGGUGAAAAGCCCGCUCGCCGGAAGACCAAGGGUUCCUGUCCAACGUUAAUCGGGGCAGGGUGAGUCGACCCCUAAGGCGAGGCCGAAAGGCGUAGUCGAUGGGAAACAGGUUAAUAUUCCUGUACUUGGUGUUACUGCGAAGGGGGGACGGAGAAGGCUAUGUUAGCCGGGCGACGGUUGUCCCGGUUUAAGCAUGUAGGCUGGUUGUCCAGGCAAAUCCGGAUAAUCAAGGCUGAGGUGUGAUGACGAGGCACUACGGUGCUGAAGUAACAAAUGCCCUGCUUCCAGGAAAAGCCUCUAAGCAUCAGGUAACAUUAAAUCGUACCCCAAACCGACACAGGUGGUCAGGUAGAGAAUACCAAGGCGCUUGAGAGAACUCGGGUGAAGGAACUAGGCAAAAUGGUGCCGUAACUUCGGGAGAAGGCACGCUGGUGUGUAGGUGAAGUCCCUGCGGAUGGAGCUGAGACCAGUCGAAGAUACCAGCUGGCUGCAACUGUUUAUUAAAAACACAGCACUGUGCAAACACGAAAGUGGACGUAUACGGUGUGACGCCUGCCCGGUGCCGGAAGGUUAAUUGAUGGGGUUAUCCGUAAGGAGAAGCUCUUGAUCGAAGCCCCGGUAAACGGCGGCCGUAACUAUAACGGUCCUAAGGUAGCGAAAUUCCUUGUCGGGUAAGUUCCGACCUGCACGAAUGGCGUAAUGAUGGCCAGGCUGUCUCCACCCGAGACUCAGUGAAAUUGAACUCGCUGUGAAGAUGCAGUGUACCCGCGGCAAGACGGAAAGACCCCGUGAACCUUUACUAUAGCUUGACACUGAACAUUGAGCCUUGAUGUGUAGGAUAGGUGGGAGGCUUUGAAGCGUGGACGCCAGUCUGCGUGGAGCCAACCUUGAAAUACCACCCUUUAAUGUUUGAUGUUCUAACGUUGGCCCCUUACCGGGGUUGCGGACAGUGUCUGGUGGGUAGUUUGACUGGGGCGGUCUCCUCCCAAAGCGUAACGGAGGAGCACGAAGGUUAGCUAAUCCUGGUCGGACAUCAGGAGGUUAGUGCAAUGGCAUAAGCUAGCUUGACUGCGAGCGUGACGGCGCGAGCAGGUGCGAAAGCAGGUCAUAGUGAUCCGGUGGUUCUGAAUGGAAGGGCCAUCGCUCAACGGAUAAAAGGUACUCCGGGGAUAACAGGCUGAUACCGCCCAAGAGUUCAUAUCGACGGCGGUGUUUGGCACCUCGAUGUCGGCUCAUCACAUCCUGGGGCUGAAGUAGGUCCCAAGGGUAUGGCUGUUCGCCAUUUAAAGUGGUACGCGAGCUGGGUUUAGAACGUCGUGAGACAGUUCGGUCCCUAUCUGCCGUGGGCGCUGGAGAAUUGAGGGGGGCUGCUCCUAGUACGAGAGGACCGGAGUGGACGCAUCACUGGUGUUCGGGUUGUCAUGCCAAUGGCACUGCCCGGUAGCUAAAUGCGGAAGAGAUAAGUGCUGAAAGCAUCUAAGCACGAAACUUGCCCCGAGAUGAGUUCUCCCUGAGACUUUAAGUCUCCUGAAGGAACGUUGAAGACGACGACGUUGAUAGGCCGGGUGUGUAAGCGCAGCGAUGCGUUGAGCUAACCGGUACUAAUGAACCGUGAGGCUUAACCUUACAACGCCGAAG